UACGUAGGGUGCAAGCGUUAAUCGGAAUUAUUGGGCGUAAAGCGUGCGCAGGCGGUCUGUUAAGACCGAUGUGAAAUCCCCGGGCUUAACCUGGGAACUGCAUUGGUGACUGGCAGGCUUUGAGUGUGGCAGAGGGAGGUAGAAUUCCACGUGUAGCGGUGAAAUGCGUAGAGAUGUGGAGGAAUACCGAUGGCGAAGGCAGCCUCCUGGGCCAACACUGACGCUCAUGCACGAAAGCGUGGGGAGCAAACAGG
rnacentral:rRNA from 1 species